GACGAACGCUGGCGGCAGGCUUAACACAUGCAAGUCGAGCGGAGAUGAGGUGCUUGCACAUUAUCUUAGCGGCGGACGGGUGAGUAAUGCUUAGGAAUCUGCCUAUUAGUGGGGGACAACAUUCCGAAAGGAAUGCUAAUACCGAAUACGCCCUACAGGGGAAAGCAGGGGAUCUUCGGACCUGGCGCUAAUAGAUGAGCCUAAGUCGGCUUAGCUAGUUGGUGGGGUAAAGUCCUACCAAGGCGACGAUCUGUCGCGUGUCUGAGAGGAUGCUCCGCCACACUGGGACUCAGACACGGCCCAGACUCCGACGGGAGACAGCUGUGUGGAAUAUUGGACAGUGGGCGUAGGCCUCAUCCAGCCUUGCCGCGUGUGUGAAGAAGGCCUUUUGGUUGUAAAGCACUUUAAGCGAGGAGGAGGCUACCUGGAUUAAUACUCUAGGAUAGUGUACGUUACUCGCAGAAUAAGCACCGGCUAACUCUGUGCCAGCAGCCGCCGUAA
rnacentral:rRNA from 1 species